AUUGAACGCUGGCGGCAUGCCUUACACAUGCAAGUCGAACGGCAGCACGGGAGCUUGCUCCUGGUGGCGAGUGGCGAACGGGUGAGUAAUACAUCGGAACGUACCCUGAAGUGGGGGAUAACGUAGCGAAAGUUACGCUAAUACCGCAUAUUCUGUGAGCAGGAAAGAGGGGGAUCGCAAGACCUCUUGCUUUAGGAGCGGCCGAUGUCGGAUUAGCUAGUUGGUGAGGUAAAGGCUCACCAAGGCGACGAUCCGUAGCGGGUCUGAGAGGAUGAUCCGCCACACUGGGACUGAGACACGGCCCAGACUCCUACGGGAGGCAGCAGUGGGGAAUUUUGGACAAUGGGCGCAAGUCCGAUCCAGCCAUGCCGCGUGAGUGAAGAAGGCCUUCGG
rnacentral:rRNA from 1 species